rnacentral:tRNA from 1 species
GGGGAUGUGGCUUAGUGGGAGAGUAUAUGCAUAGAUUGCAUGUGCAGGGUCCUGGGCUCAAUCCCCAGCACCACAA